AGGUAAAUCCGCUUUGAUAAUGCUGGGAUGUGAUGGGGAGCGAAAUUUAGUAGCGAAGUAGCUGAUUUCACACUGUCAAGAAAAGUCUCUAUCGAGGUUAAAGGUACCCGUACCGCAAACCGACACAGGUGGGUGAGGAGAGUAUCCUAAGGCACGCGAGAGAACUGUUGUUAAGGAACUCGGCAAAAUGACCCCGUAACUUAGGGAUAAGGGGUGCCACCAUCCGGUGGCCGCAGAGAAUAGGCCCAAGCGACUGUUUACCAAAAACAUAGGUUUCUGCUAAGUCGCAAGACGAUGUAUAGGAGCUGACGCCUGCCCGGUGCUGGAAGGUUAAGGGGAUCUGUUAGAGCAAUCGAAGCAGUGAACUUAAGCCCCAGUAAACGGCGGCCGUAACUAUAACGGUCCUAAGGUAGCGAAAUUCCUUGUCGGGUAAGUUCCGACCCGCACGAAAGGCGUAA
rnacentral:rRNA from 1 species